CUGAGUGAGGGCCCUCUGGGUCCAACCUCCCACCCGUGUUUAUUGUACCUUGUUGCUUCGGUGCGCCCGCCUCACGGCCGCCGGGGGCUUCUGCCCCCGGGUCCGCGCGCACCGGAGACACUAUUGAACUCUGUCUGAAGAUUGCAGUCUGAGCAUAAACUAAAUAAGUUA
rnacentral:misc_RNA from 1 species